CCUANGGGGGGCAGCAGUCGAGAAUCAUUCACAAUGGGCGAAAGCCUGAUGGUGUGACGCCGCGUGGAGGAUGACGGUCUUCGGAUUGUAAACUCCUGUCAUGUGAGAGUAAGGUUGGAGUAGUAACUGACUGCCAACUUGAGAGUAUCACAAGAGGAAGAGGCGGCUAACUCUGUGCCAGCAGCCGCGGUAAUACAGAGGCCUCAAGCGUUGUUCGGAAUCACUGGGCGUAAAGGGUGCGUAGGCGGCGCGGAAAGUCAGGGGUGAAAUCCCGGAGCUCAACUCCGGAACUGCCUUUGAUACUCCCGCGCUUGAGAACUGGAGGGGACAUCGGAAUUCACGGUGGAGCAGUGAAAUGCGUGGAUAUCGUGAGGAACACUAGUGGCGAAGGCGGAUGUCUGGACAGUAUCUGACGCUGAGGCACGAAGGCCAGGGGAGCGAACGGGAUUAGAUACCCUUNUANUC
rnacentral:rRNA from 1 species